rnacentral:lncRNA from 1 species
GAUGAGGACAUCCUCCACUAUUACCUGUUGGCAAAGACGCAUUUGGCCUAGUUGGCCCAAUUGUAGUCGGACGACGACCGUGUGAGCCUCAGAAUUAUCCCACCUCGCUUAACUUGGGAGGAGGAAGCCACUUUAAAAGGGAGAGCCACCCUUCCCCCAUUGGACUAGUCUUUUGGGGCGAUUGGGCCUUUCCCUGAGUUGGGUGUGCUUAAUGAACUGUUGGGCUCCGGGCAACCCAAAUUUGUUGGGCCUCGGCCAACCCCACCUGGGCUGGGUGUAUCAUCUGGUAUCAGAGCUACGACCCAUUUUAAGAAGGUGGGAAUGAUGAGGAAAUCCUCCACUAUUACCCGUUGGCAAAGACGCAAUUGGCCCAGUUGGCCCAAUUGUAGUCGGACGGCGACCGUGUGAGCCUCAGAAUUAUCCCACCUCGCUUAACUUGGGAGGAGGAAGCCACUUUAAAAGGGAGAGCCACCCUUCCCCCAUUGGACUAGUCUUUUGGGGCGAUUGGCCUUCCCCUGAGUUGGGUGUGCUUAAUGAACUGUU